rnacentral:lncRNA from 1 species
CGGGGAUUCAAAAGAUUUGGAUAAUGGGUUUUUUUUUUAAAAAAAAUUAGAAUGUUUGUAAAAGUUAUGUAAAUUAAUGUUCAAUAUUUUUUUAUUGUUAUUUCUCUAUUUCACCAAUAGACUUUUUUUAAUAUUUUUUUAUUUUUGUACCAUUAGUAUUUUUUUUCACAAAAAUAAACUCCAGUUAAGUACUUUUUGAUGUUAAGAGGAUG